rnacentral:misc_RNA from 1 species
UGAAAUGCGAUAAGUAGUGCGAAACGCAUAAUCUCGUGAGUCAUCGAAUCUUUGAACGCAUGUUGCACCGUCCGGCUAUCCGGAAGGUAUACCUGUUUGAGUGUCAUAAAGUUUCCCUCUCGGUGCGCGCUGUGCAUCGGGGACUUGAAGGCGUCAACGGCUUUGGCGGUUGUCCUUUGAAAUGGAGACUUGACGCGUUGCUCGGUCUGCAAACCGACGGCAAGGUGAGGUAAAUGUUCCACGCCAGGUCAUCAACCCGCGAGCCAGCAGCAGGUCAAGACACUACAGCACAACUCGUGCUUCUUGUUCAAUGACCUCAAAUCAGGUAGGACUACCCGCUGAACUUAA